AGUUAAUGAGCUUGAUAAAGCAUAUAUUUUGAAAAUAUAAGAUAGAUAAUAUUAUCUAUUAACUU
rnacentral:tRNA from 1 species